rnacentral:rRNA from 1 species
UACGGAGGGGACUAGCGUUGUUCGGAAUUACUGGGCGUAAAGCGCACGUAGGCGGAUUUGUAAGUCGGGGGUGAAAGCCUGUGGCUCAACCACAGAAUUGCCUUCGAUACUGUAGAGCUUGAGACCGGAAGAGGUAAGUGGAACUGCGAGUGUAGAGGUGAAAUUCGUAGAUAUUCGCAAGAACACCAGUGGCGAAGGCGGCUUACUGGUCCGGUUCUGACGCUGGAGGCGCGAAAGCGGUGGGGAGCAAACAGG